rnacentral:rRNA from 1 species
ACAAGCGGAGGAGCAUUGUGUUUAAUUCGAUGAUACGCGAGGAACCUUACCCGGGCUCGAACGUAAGAUGACUGUAGGUGAAAGCUUACAUCUCUUCGGAGCAUUUUUACGAGGUGCUGCAUGGUUGUCGUCAGCUCGUGCCGUGAGGUGUCGGGUUAAGUCCCAUAACGAGCGCAACCCUACCUUUAGUUGCCAUCAGGUAAUGCUGGGGACUCUAAAGGAACUGCCUACGCAAGUAGUGAGGAAGGCGGGGAUGACGUCAAAUCAGCACGGCCCUUACGUCCAGGGCUACACACGUGCUACAAUGGCCGAUACAGAGGGCAGCUACCUGGUGACAGGAUGCAAAUCUCCAAAGUCGGUCUCAGUUCGGAUCGGAGUCUGCAACCCGACUCCGUGAAGUUGGAUUCGCUAGUAAUCGCGCAUCAGCCAUGGCGCGGUGAAUACGUUCCCGGGCCUU